rnacentral:lncRNA from 1 species
CGCCGCAGCAAAAACUCCCCGAGUUUAAUUUGCAGCCGCUGGUGCAGGAACAGCUCCACCGCUCCCGCCUCUCCCAAACCCCGGAGCAAGGGAACGGCGGAGAUUUGGAAAAGUCAACUCAUUAAUUAGCGCAGGGCUGGCGUCUCCCGCAACCCCGCAGCGCGGCCGGCUCAAAGCCACCCCUUGUCCCCAGGGCGGAGGGACAGGCCAGGGGAACAAAGGGACAGUGUUGGCUGCAGGGCCGUGGGCUCGGGACGCUGUUUGGGGCAGGAUUCUCGGUGACAUCAAGUGACUCCAUGUGACCGAGCCACUCCAGGGCUGCUGGAACGAGCGGAUUCUGCGUGGGAGCGUCUCCCGCCCCGCUGCGCUCUGUCCCCAAAUUCCCUGUCCCUGCCACAGCUCGUGCCUCUCCCACCUGGAGCUGCCACCUCCCUCUGGCAGCCGUUCCUCCCUCCCCGGCCGGGCGGGAUAAUGAAGAUCCAGUUUUAUUCUGGGGCCUGUCAGGGAACAGAAUCCCAGCAGGGCUGAGGGCGGCUGUCCCUUCUUUGUCCUUCCUGUCCCCUCUGUCCCCUCCUGUCAGUCCCCUAUUUAUCCCCUCCUGCCAUUCCCUAUUUCCCUCUCUGUCAGUCCCCUCUGUCCCUCUCUGUCCCGUGUCUGUCCACCUGUCCCUCUCUGUCCCCUCUCUGUCCCCUUUCCCCUCUCUGUCCCCCCUGCCCCUCUCUGUCCCCUCCUGUCAGUCCCCUCUCUGUCCCCUCUUUGUCCCCUCUCUCUGUCCCCUCCGUCCCUCUCUGUCCCUCUCUAUCCCUUCUUUCCCCUCUCUGUCCCCCCUCUGUCCCCUCUGUCCCCUCUGUCCCCUCUCUCUGUCCCUCUCUGUCCCCUCUGUCCCCUCUGUCCCCUCUCUCCGUCCCUCUCUGUCCCUCUCUGUCCCCUCUGUCCCUCUCCAUCCCCCCUGUCCCUCUCCAUCCCCUCUCCAUCCCUUCUGUCCUCUCUCUGUCCCCUCUGUCCUCUCUCUCCGUCCCUCUCCGUCCCUCUCUGUCCCUCUCCGUCCCCCCUAUCCUUCUCUGUCCCUCUCCAUCCCCUCUGUCCCCUCUGUCCCCCCUGUCCCCUCUGUCCCCUCUGUCCCCCGUGUCCCCUCUGUCCCCUCUGUCCCCUCUGUCCCCUCUGUCCCCCGUGUCCCCUCUGUCCCUCUCCAUCCCCUCUGUCCCCUCUGUCCCCCUGUCCCCUCCCGUGUCCCCUGCCCGGCUCUCAGCUGCUCCGGGCGCUGG